rnacentral:rRNA from 1 species
UUCCAGACUCCUACGGGAGGCAGCAGUGGGGAAUAUUGCACAAUGGGGGAAACCCUGAUGCAGCGACGCCGCGUGAGUGAAGAAGUAUUUCGGUAUGUAAAGCUCUCUCAGCAGGGAAGAUAAUGACGGUACCUGAGUAAGAAGCCCCGGCUAACUACGUGCCAGCAGCCGCGGUAAUACGUAGGGGGCAAGCGUUAUCCGGAUUUACUGGGUGUAAAGGGAGCGUAGACGGCAUGGCAAGUCUGAAGUGAAAGCCCGGGGCUCAACCGCGGGACUGCUUUGGAAACUGUUAAGCUGGAGUGCAGGAGAGGUAAGUGGAAUUCCUAGUGUAGCGGUGAAAUGCGUAGAUAUUAGGAGGAACACCAGUGGCGAAGGCGGCUUACUGGACUGUAACUGACGUUGAGGCUCGAAAGCGUGGGGAGCAAACAGGAUUAGAUACCCGCGUA